rnacentral:snRNA from 1 species
AUACUUACCUGGCAAGGGAGAUACCAUGAUUAUGUAGGUGGUUUUUCCAGGGCGAGGCUUAUCCACUGUAUUCCAAAUACACUGACCCCUCCAAUUUCCCCAAAUGUGGAAACUCAGUGGCCUAAUUUGUGGUAGUGGCAACUGCAUUCACACUUUCCCC